GUCUAUGGCCAUAACACCCUAAAUGCAUCCAAUCUUGGCUGAUUUCAGAAGCUAAACAGGGUUGGGUCUGGUUAGUACUUGGAUGAGAGACAAUUUUGACCACUCUUUCUCUCAAAUAUCUCAGGCAAUCAGUCC
ensembl:rRNA 5S_rRNA 5S ribosomal RNA